CCGACUGCUAUCAUAGUGAGAUUAGCCAUGCGAGUCAGCGUACAAUACAUGGCACACGGCUCAGUAACACAUAGUCAACAUAACCAGAGGACGUGGAUAAACUCGGGAAACUGAGGCUAAACCGCGAUAGACCAAGAUACCUGGAAUGGUUUUUGAUCAAAAUCUAUAUGGCCUUUGGGUUGGACUGCGACCGAUCAGGCUGUUGGUGAGGUAAUGGCCCACCAAACCUGUAACCGGUACGGGCUCUGAGAGGAGGAGCCCGGAGAUGGGUACUGAGAAAAGGACCCAGGCCCUAUGGGGCGCAGCAGGCGCGAAACCUCUGCAAUAGGCGAAAGCCUGACAGGGUUACUCUGAGUGACUUUCGCUAAGAAAGUCUUUUGACACCUCUAAAAAUGGUGUAGAAUAAGGGGUGGGCAAGUCUGGUGUCAGCCGCCGCGGUAAUACCAGCACCCCGAGUGGUCGUCGACGAUUAUUGGGCCUAAAGCAUCCGUAGACGGUUUUACAAGUCUCCGUUAAAUCCAAAUGAUUAAAGAUGGGCCGCGGAGGAUACUAU
rnacentral:rRNA from 1 species